rnacentral:rRNA from 1 species
UGGGGAAUAUUGCACAAUGGGCGAAAGCCUGAUGCAGCGACGCCGCGUGAGGGAUGACGGCCUUCGGGUUGUAAACCUCUUUCGACAGGGACGAAGCGCAAGUGACGGUACCUGUAGAAGAAGCACCGGCCAACUACGUGCCAGCAGCCGCGGUAAUACGUAGGGUGCGAGCGUUGUCCGGAAUUACUGGGCGUAAAGAGCUUGUAGGCGGUUUGUCGCGUCGUCUGUGAAAACUCACAGUUUCACCGUGGAGCUUGCAGACGAUACGGGCAGACUUGAGUACUGCAGGGGAGACUGGAAUUCCUGGUGUAGCGGUGAAAUGCGCAGAUAUCAGGAGGAACACCGGUGGCGAAGGCGGGUCUCUGGGCAGUAACUGACGCUGAGAAGCGAAAGCGUGGGUAGCGAACAGGAUUAGAUACCCUGGUAGUCCACGCCGUANCGGUGGGUACUAGGUGUGGGUUUCCUUCCACGGGAUCCGUGCCGUAGCUACGCAUUAAGUACCCCGCCUGGGGAGUACGGCCGCAAGGCU